rnacentral:rRNA from 1 species
AAAAGCCCGAACGGGUUAUCGUUGUAAAGAUAUCCGAUGAACUGUGGUAAGUUAGUGAAAGACAAAACUGACUAGUAUAGCUGGUUUUCCGCGAAACCUAUGUAAGUAGGUAAUUUAAUUAACAUCUUAGCAGGUACAGAACUGU